UGAGAUUUGUGAAUAUCCCCAGAUUUGCAUCCUUUGCGGGGGCGGAAGGGGGUGUGGCGAAAUUUUGAAACAAACUCGUCUCGGUCCGAUAUAUUAGGAGUGUGGAUACCAAAUUUGGUUGCUCUAGCUUUUAUAGUCUCUGAGAUCUAGGCGCUAAUGUUUUACUCUAAGCAAAGCCGCCUAUGCUACGUGUGUGUUAGAGAGAGACAGGGCGAGAAAAAAUGAAAUUGUUUUCUUGAUUCUGGCUGUAAUAAUUAUACGAUCUGGUUCAGAUUCUGCAAUCUAAAAGAUAUAGUCAUCUUCUACGAUUCUGCGUUUUUUGUUUUCUCGUAUCCUCGAAAUUGUGGAUGCCACAGAUUUUCGCACUUUGUGGGGGCGGAAGUGGGCGGGGCAAUGUUUUGAAAUAUUUUUGUAGCAGUGACAUAUCACAGAAGUCUGGAUCCAAAACAUCGUUGCUCUGGCUCUUAUAGUCUUUGAGCAUUAGGCGCUGAAGGGGACGGACAGACGGACAGACGGACGGACGGACAGACGGACAGACGGACGGACGGACAGACGGACAGACAGACAUGGCUCAAUCGACUCGGCUAUUGAUGCUGAUCAAGAAUAUAUAUACAAAUCUAAUAUACCCCAAUACUCAUUUUGAGUAUCGGGUAUAAUCAGUGAGUAAUAUUGUCAAAUCUUCUAUGAUUUUUAAAUACUUGAAUAAUUUUGAACGAAAGGGAAUACGGUUCCAAUUCCGUAACCUGUUGAGUAUCCGUUUGUUAUUAAAUAUGGGCCUCGUGCUCAUCCUGGCAACAGGAACGACCAUAAGGAAGCCAUCGAGAGAUAUCGGAAGAGUUUUCUUUUUUGUUUUAUAGCCGUACUACCAUGGAAGUCUUUCGCAGAGAGAUAUUGUAGAUGGGCUAGAAGAGCAUGACAUAUACUGUUGUGUCGAUAUUUUCUCCUCGGACCUUGAAAAUUUAUGGUGGGGACACGCAAACUUCUCAACAGGCCGUACCAAUAUCCGCAGCUGGUAUCCAAGGGGAAGAGUCUCUAGUCGAUAGAAUAAUGUAGGUAAGGGAAGUCGGCAAAUUAGAUCCGUAACUUCGGGAUAAGGAUUGGUUUUGAAGAUUGAGAUAGUCGGGCUUGAUUGGGAAACAAUAACAUGGUUUAUGUGCUCGUUCUGGGUAAAUAGAGUUUCUAUCAUUUAUGGUAGUUACUUGUUCCCCGGAUAGUUUAGUUACGUAGCCAAUUGUGGAACUUUCUUGCUACAAUUUUUAAGAAUACUAAUUGGGUUAAACCAGUUAGUUCUUAUUAAUUAUAACGAUUAUCAAUUAACAAUCAAUUCAGAACUGGCACGGACCUGGGGAAUCCCACUGUUUAAUUAAAACGAAGCAUAAUGAUGGCGGGUGUUGACACAAUGUAAUUUCAGCCCAGUGCUCUGAAUGUCAAAGUUAAGAAAUUCAAGUAAGCGCGGGUAAACGGCGGGAGUAACUUUGACUCUCUUCGGAAGAUAUGGAUCUGAAUAAUAGCAUAGAAGGGAAGUCAUUCCGUAAUUCGUAAAUCGUAAAAAUCAGAUCAAGUUGAUUCAAGACCUCCUCGUGGUAUCUUGUGGAUGCUAUUAGACUAAGAUCUUUUGGU
rfam:Drosophila persimilis strain MSH-3 cont1.012683, whole genome shotgun sequence.